AUACGUAGGGGGCGAGCGUUGUCCGGAUUUACUGGGUGUAAAGGGAGCGCAGGCGGGCGUGCAAGUCAGCUGUGAAAUCCAUGGGCUUAACCCGUGGGCUGCAGUUGAAACUGUAUGUCUUGAGUGAAGUAGAGGUAGGCGGAAUUCCGAGGGUAGCGGUAAAAUGCGUAGAUAUUCGGAGGAACACCGGUGGCGAAGGCGGCCUACUGGGCUUUAACUGACGCUGAGGCUCGAAAGUGUGGGGAGCAAACAGGAUUAGAUACCCUGGUAGUCCACACUGUAAACGAUGAUUGCUAGGUGUGGGGGGUCUGACCCCUUCCGUGCCGCAGUUAACGCAUUAAGCAAUCCACCUGGGGAGUACGGCCGCAAGGCUAAAACUCAAAGGAAUUGACGGGG
rnacentral:rRNA from 1 species